GGCGAGACAUCUUGGCUCAUU
rnacentral:miRNA from 1 species